GAUGACGGAGAAGCUCUGUGGUCAUGUGGUGGCUGUGAGGGUUUGACAACUUCCAGCCUUUCCGUCUUGGUUUGGAGAUAGGCUCUCCUUGAUAGAUGCCCUAGAUGGGUCUUGAACCUGGUCUCCUUCUGUCUCGCCUCCUCAGUAGCUGGGCUCACAGUCCUCUUCAUGGGAUUAGGUUUAAUUAUUCUUUUGUUGUUGCUACCUUUAUCUGAAAAUCAUUUACUAAAUCUGAGGGCGUGGGAGUUUGCUCCUUUUACUUUUCUUCCUUUUUGAAAUAGGAGGGCUUUUAGUUAAGCACACUGGGGAUUAAGCCCAGGUCUUAUGCUUGCUGGGCAAGCCCUGUACCACUCAACUACAUCCCUAGACUUUUGGAGUUGAUUUUAAUACAUGAUAAAAGGGGGACAUUCUCUUGCGCUGAUCUAGGCAUUAUAUGUUGAAAAUUCUUCUUUCCACAGAGUGUUUUUGACACCCUCUUGCUUCCUAUUGCUGUGAUAAAACACGGUCAUGAAGGGAAGUCAGGUCAGGACCCCGGAGGCAGGAACUGAUACAGAGGUCAUGGAAGAGUGCUGCUUACUGGCUUGCUCCCAUGGCUUGCUCAACAGGCUUUCUUGAGAACUCGGAAACCUCUGCUGAGAGAGUCACAUCCACAGUACUGGGCCCUUCCACAUCAACCAAGAAACUGCUCUACAGCCUUGCCUACAGGCUAAUCUGAUAGAGGCAUUUUCUCACUUGAAGUUCCUUCUUCUCCGAUGACUCUGGCUUGUGUCAAAUUGAGAACUAACCAGAAUACUGUCAACGAUCAUCAGACCACAGAAGCGUGGUCUACUUGGGGACUUUACAUUCUGCUUACCUGAUCCGUAUACCGGCUUCCUUUGCCCGUGUGCCUGUAGCAUUUUGUGCUUCAUAGUACUGCAGCUUUGGAGUUGGUUUGCAAAUCAGGAAGUAGAAGCCCUUCUUCCUGCUUCCUUUUCAGGAUUGUUUUAACUAUACUAGGUCUCUUGUCAGCAAAUAAAAAGUAUAUAUCCGAAUAUAGAUGUGGGGUAAUCUAGGCUGGCCUGGAACCCAUUAUAUAGCUGAGACUGGCCUCAGGCUUAUGACAGUCUUGUCUCAGACACUUAAAUGCUAGGGUUAUAGAUGUGAGCUACUACACUCAGUUCAGAAAGUCAUUUGAAGAAAGACGUUGCCUGGGCUAGUGAGUGCCCAAAUGUUUUCUGAGCCAUGAACAACAUAGGAUGUUUUCUCCAUAGCUAGAUUUCCUUUAAUUUUCUUUUUGUGGGGGUAAGGAAGGGCUGUUGUGACUGUGUCACAUAGCCAAGGCUGACCUUGAACUCCUGGUCCUAUGUCUUCUGAGUGCUGAGAUUUCUUUGACAGUGUUUUGUCUGUUAGUUCUGAUUAUAUAUAUAUAAAUGCUGUUUUAAAUUUUAAUUCAAAUUUAUUUUAUUGAGUCUCAUGCAAUUCAUGCUUGUGUGGGGCUUGCUGUUAAGUUCUUUUUUUUUUUUUUUUUUUCCGAGACAGGGUUUCUCUGUAUAGCCCAGGCUGUCCUGGAACUCACUUUGUAGACCAGGCUGGCCUCAAACUCAGAAAUCCACCUGCCUCUGCCUCUACCUCCUGAGUCCUGGGAUUAAAGACGUACGCCACCACGCCCGGCCUGCUGUUAAAUUCUUGAUCCCCCACCCCUCCUCCACCUCCCAAGACCUAAGCUUGAAUCUGUGUGCCUCCACUCCACACCAGGUGAAACCCUAUCU
rnacentral:lncRNA from 1 species